CCUACGGGAGGCAGCAGUGAGGAAUAUUGGUCAAUGGGCGCGAGCCUGAACCAGCCAAGUCGCGUGAGGGAAGACGGUCCUAUGGAUUGUAAACCUCUUUUGUCGGGGAGCAAAAGACGCCACGCGUGGCGUUCCGAGAGUACCCGAAGAAAAAGCAUCGGCUAACUCCGUGCCAGCAGCCGCGGUAAUACGGAGGAUGCGAGCGUUAUCCGGAUUUAUUGGGUUUAAAGGGUGCGCAGGCGGAAGGUCAAGUCAGCGGUAAAAGUGAGAGGCUCAACCUCUUCGAGCCGUUGAAACUGGUUUUCUUGAGUGAGCGAGAAGUAUGCGGAAUGCGUGGUGUAGCGGUGAAAUGCAUAGAUAUCACGCAGAACUCCGAUUGCGAAGGCAGCAUACCGGCGCUCAACUGACGCUCAUGCACGAAAGUGUGGGUAUCGAACAGGAUUAGAUACCCCAGUAGUC
rnacentral:rRNA from 1 species